rnacentral:rRNA from 1 species
CAGUAGCCGCGGGAAUACGUAGGGUGCGAGCGUUAAUCGGAAUUACUGGGCGUAAAGCGUGCGCAGGCGGUUGUGUAAGACAGGUGUGAAAUCCCCGGGCUUAACCUGGGAACUGCGCUUGUGACUGCACAGCUAGAGUAUGGCAGAGGGGGGUGGAAUUCCACGUGUAGCAGUGAAAUGCGUAGAGAUGUGGAGGAACACCGAUGGCGAAGGCAGCCCCCUGGGCCAAUACUGACGCUCAUGCACGAAAGCGUGGGGAACAAACAGGAUUAGAUACCCCGGUAGUCCCUGUCUCUUAUAC